rnacentral:rRNA from 1 species
UACGGAGGGGGCUAGCGUUGUUCGGAAUUACUGGGCGUAAAGCGCGCGUAGGCGGCUUUGUAAGUUAGAGGUGAAAGCCCGGAGCUCAACUCCGGAACUGCCUUUAAGACUGCAUCGCUAGAAUUGUGGAGAGGUGAGUGGAAUUCCGAGUGUAGAGGUGAAAUUCGUAGAUAUUCGGAAGAACACCAGUGGCGAAGGCGACUUACUGGACACAUAUUGACGCUGAGGUGCGAAAGCGUGGGGAGCAAACAGG